rnacentral:rRNA from 1 species
UACGGAGGGGCUAGCGUUGUUCGGAAUUACUGGGCGUAAAGCGCACGUAGGCGGACUCUUAAGUCGGUGGUGAAUCCUGGAGCUCAACUCCAGAACUGCCUUCGAUACUGGGAGUCUCGAGUCCGGGAGAGGUGAGUGGAACUGCGAGUGUAGAGGUGAAAUUCGUAGAUAUUCGCAAGAACACCAGUGGCGAAGGCGGCUCACUGGCCGGUACUGAC